rnacentral:rRNA from 1 species
GUGGGGAAUCUUCCGCAAUGGACGAAAGUCUGACGGAGCAACGCCGCGUGAGUGAAGAAGGUCUUCGGAUCGUAAAGCUCUGUUGUACGGGACGAAUGUUGAAGGCGUGAAUAAUGCCAUCAAAUGACGGUACUGUACGAGGAAGCCACGGCUAACUACGUGCCAGCAGCCGCGGUAAUACGUAGGUGGCGAGCGUUGUCCGGAAUUAUUGGGCGUAAAGGGAGCGCAGGUGGGAAGGUAAGUCUGUUUUAAAAGCGUCGGGCUCAACCCGAUGAUGGAACAGAAACUAUUUUUCUUGAGUGCAGGAGAGGAAAGCGGAAUUCCUAGUGUAGCGGUGAAAUGCGUAGAUAUUAGGAGGAACACCAGUGGCGAAGGCGGCUUUCUGGACUGUAACUGACACUGAGGCUCGAAAGCCAUGGGAGCGAACGGGAUUAGAUACCCGGGUAGUCC